UUUCGCAAUGCCCGAAAGGGUGACGAAGCGACGCCGCGUGUGGGAAGAAGGCCUUCGGGUUGUAAACCACUGUCGGGAGUUAGGAAAUGCAGGUGCGUUAAUAGCGCACUUGCUUGACUAAGGCUCCAGAGGAAGCCACGGCUGACUCUGUGCCAGCAGCCGCGGUAAUACAGAGGCGGCAAGCGUUGUUCGGAAUUAUUGGGCGUAAAGAGCACGUAGGCGGCCUUGCAAGUCAGUUGUGAAAGCCUUCCGCUUAACGGAAGAACGGCAUCUGAUACUACAGGGCUUGAGUACGGGAGGGGAGAGUGGAACUUCUGGUGGAGCGGUGAAAUGCGUAGAUAUCAGAAGGAACGCCGGCGGCGAAAGCGACUCUCUGGUCCGAAACUGACGCUGAGUGUGCGAAAGCUAGGGGAGCAAACGGGAUUAGAUACCCCGGUAGUCCUAGCCGUAAACGAUGGGCACUAAGUAGAGGGGUUUU
rnacentral:rRNA from 1 species